UACGUAGGGUGCAAGCGUUGUCCGGAAUUAUUGGGCGUAAAGAGCUCGUAGGCGGUCUGUCGCGUCUGCUGUGAAAACUCGGGGCUUAACCCCGGGCCUGCAGUGGGUACGGGCAGACUAGAGUGCGGUAGGGGAGACUGGAAUUCCUGGUGUAGCGGUGAAAUGCGCAGAUAUCAGGAGGAACACCGGUGGCGAAGGCGGCGACCUGGGCCAAUAUUGACGCUGAGGUGCGAAAGCGUGGGGAGCAAACAGG
rnacentral:rRNA from 1 species